GGGGUUGAAAAUGUGGACAUUGCAAGGUGCAUGUUUACGAUUCGAGGUACUGGACGUGGCAGUUUCAUUGCUGGGAAAAGUGUUCAUAACCAGAGAAUUGAACGCCUAUGGAGAGAUGUUUGGAGUGUGACUUCAAAAUAUUACAACAUGCUCUACAGUUUGGAGGAAGAGGGUCUCAUUGACCUGUCGAACGCGGUCCAUCUGUUCUGUGUGGGCUAUGUCUUUAUACCACGACUACGAGAAGAUCUGCAGGUUUUCGAGGAGAGUUGGAAUUCUCAUCCCUUGAGGACAGAAACCUAACACCCAAUCAAUUGUGGAUGAUCGGUAUGCUGAAGGAACCAGUGUCAGAACCAGAUCUGACAGAGAUUCAGCAUGCUGAGGAGCUGCUGUCCCAAGAACAGCAAAGUGAAGAAGUUGAACAUGGGGUCAAUGUGCCUGUUCUUCAGUCCGCUGUCAGCUGAAAAAGUGCAUGCACUUCAACAAUUAAACCCUUU